rnacentral:sRNA from 1 species
UUGAGAGCUCACUGGCUUCGGGUUCCAUUAGAACUCCGAAGUUAAGCGAGUUUGGGCGAGAGCAUUCCCAAGAUGGGUGAUCCACUGGGAAGUUCUUGUCUGAGUUCUCAGAAUCAAAACCGUGAAGGUGUGAUUGGGGCCCAAAGAGGACAAUAUCGUGCUACAGUGAAGUUGAACCCGAGAUGUGGUGGGGGCUCGGGCCGAGAUGUAACAGAAUGGUAUUAGAGCCAAUCUAUAGUCGGAAGUGUGCCGACAAGGACGUCGAGCCCCUAAGGGGGUGGAUUGUAACAUCCCACAUCGCCCAGGGGAGUGGAUCAUGUAAGCCUUAUAUGUAUAUUAUCAUAUUUACCUAGCACAAGACCUUUUGGGAGCUUACUGGUUUCGGGUUCCAUCGGAACUUCGAAGUUAAGUGAGUUUGGGUAAGAGCAUUCCCAAGAUGGGUGACCCACUGGGAAGUUCUCAUGUGAGUUC